AAGAAGAAAGGCAAGAAGAAAAAGAAAGGCAAAAAGAAGUAAUUUUUUUGUUUUUGUUUUUUU
rnacentral:ribozyme from 1 species